GCCCGCUCAGAAACUCAAAGGAUUGACGGGGGCCCGCACAAGCGGUGGAGUAUGUGGUUUAAUUCGAAGCAACGCGAAGAACCUUACCAGGCCUUGACAUGCAGAGAACUUUCCAGAGAUGGAUUGGUGCCUUCGGGAACUCUGACACAGGUGCUGCAUGGCUGUCGUCAGCUCGUGUCGUGAGAUGUUGGGUUAAGUCCCGCAACGAGCGCAACCCUUGCCUUUAGUUGCCAGCAGUUCGGCUGGGCACUCUAAAGGGACUGCCGGUGUUAAACCGGAGGAAGGUGGGGAUGACGUCAAGUCCUCAUGGCCUUUAUGACCAGGGCUACACACGUACUACAAUGGCCGAUACAAAGGGCAGCGACACUGCGAGGUGAAGCCAAUCCCGUAAAAUCGGUCUCAGUCCGGAUUGGAGUCUGCAACUCGACUCCAUGAAGUUGGAAUCGCUAGUAAUCGUGGAUCCAGCAUGCCACGGUGAAUACGUUCCCGGGCCUU
rnacentral:rRNA from 1 species